GAUGAACGCUGGCGGCGUGCCUAAUACAUGCAAGUCGAGCGAAUGGAUUAAGAGCUUGCUCUUAUGAAGUUAGCGGCGGACGGGUGAGUAACACGUGGGUAACCUGCCCAUAAGACUGGGAUAACUCCGGGAAACCGGGGCUAAUACCGGAUAACAUUUUGAACCGCAUGGUUCGGAAUUGAAAGGCGGCUUCGGCUGUCACUUAUGGAUGGGCCCGCGUCGCAUUAGCUAGUUGGUGAGGUAACGGCUCACCAAGGCAACGAUGCGUAGCCGACCUGAGAGGGUGAUAGGCCACACUGGGACUGAGACACGACCCAGACUCCUACGGGAGGCAGCAGUAGGGAAUCUUCCGCAAUGGACGAAAGUCUGACGUAGCAACGCCGCGUGAGUGAUGAAGGCUUUCGGGUCGUAAAACUCUGUUGUUAGGGAAGAACAAGUGCUAGUUGAAUAAGCUGGCACCUUGACGGUACCUAACCAGAAAGCCACGGCUAACUACGUGCCAGCCGCCGCGGUAA
rnacentral:rRNA from 1 species